rnacentral:rRNA from 2 species
CGGCGAGUGAAGCGGCAACAGCUCAAAUUUGAAAUCUGGCGUCGUGUGGCGUCCGAGUUGUAAUUUGCAGAGGGAGCCUCGGAGGGCGAGUCGGUCCAAGUGCCUUGGAACAGGAUACCGCAGAGGGUGAGAGUCCCGUAUCCGGCCGAUUUUGCGCUCCGUGUGAGGCCUCUUCGACGAGUCGAGUUGUUUGGGAAUGCAGCUCCAAGCGGGUGGUAAAUUCCAUCUAAAGCUAAAUACCGGCCAGAGACCGAUAGCGAACAAGUAGAGUGAUCGAAAGAUGAAAAGCACUUUGAAAAGAGAGUCAAACAGUACGUGAAAUUGUUGAAAGGGAAGCGCAUGGGGGCAGACUUGGACGUGGGGUUCAGGACGUCAGUUUUGACGUCUGUACUUCCCUGCGGACAGGCCAGCAUCGGUUUCGGGGGCCGGACAAAGGCGGCGGGAACGUGGCUCUCCUCGGAGAGUGUUAUAGCCCGUCGUGCAAUGCGGCC